AGGACUAACGCUGGCGGCGUGCCUAACACAUGCAAGUCGAGCGGGGUAGCAAUACCCAGCGGCAGACGGGUGAGUAACGCGUGGUCAACCUUCCGUUGAAUGGGGGAUAACUAGCCGAAAGGUUAGCUAAUACCGCAUACGAUCUUUUGAAGGCAUCUUUAAAAGAUGAAAGGAGCAAUUCGUUCAACGACGGGACCGCGUCCCAUUAGCUAGAUGGUGGGGUAAUGGCCUACCAUGGCAACGAUGGGUAGCUGGUUUGAGAGAGCGACCAGCCACACUGGGACUGAGAAACGGCCCAGACUCCUACGGGAGGCAGCAGUGAGGAAUUUUCCGCAAUGGGCGAAAGCCUGACGGAGCGACGCCGCGUGUGGGAAGAAGGCCUUCGGGUCGUAAACCACUGUCGAAGGGGACGAGUAAUGACGGUACCCUUGGAGGAAGCCCCGGCUAACUACGUGCCAGCAGCCGC
rnacentral:rRNA from 1 species